CCUCGUAAUGAUAGGGCUGUGUCUCUCUGGGCUAAUGAUGAGGUGGGACUGGUAUUCCUCAUAAUGAUAGAGCUGUGUAUCUCUGGGUUAAUGAUGAAGUGGGACUGGUAUUCCUCGUAAUGACAAGGCUGUGUCUCUCUGGGCUAAUGAUAAAGUGGGACUGGUAUUCCUCGUAAUGAUAGAGCUGUGUCUCUCUGGGCUAACGAUGAGGUGGGACUGGUAUUCCUCGUAAUGAUAGAGCUGUGUCUCUCUGGGCUAAUGAUAAAGUGGGAUAAGAUAUGUGAUGAGGAUUGAAAUGUUUGAAAUAUCCCUAAAAUGUGCAGGAUACACCUACCAAUUAGGAUGCGCACUGCGGAGAACACCAGAAGAAGAAUGAUAUUUUAAUUACCAGAACUAAAAGAACAAAGGUUACGUAAAGGUUCGGAGAACUAAAAGGACAAAGGUUACGUAAAGGUUUGGGGAACAAACGUCAAAGGUUACGUAAAGGUUCGGAGAACUAAAAGGACAAAGGUUACGUAAAGGUUUGGGGAACAAACGGCAAAGGUUACGUAAAGGUUCAGAGAACUAAAAGGACAAAGGUUAGGUGACUUGGGUCAACUUUAGAAUAAGAUUUAGGGGAAUGGUUAGCUACAAUGCUACAGCUGUCCCCGAUGCGACUCAAACACGCGACCUUUAGAUUGCUAGACGGACGCAGAUCAUGCCCACCCAUCCUGCCUGACCAACCUCCCUACUUUUGUUUCUUUCUAAAGUAACUCAACCAUUUUUAGGUAUCAUACGUCUUGGAUGCGCGCAGUAAUAAGUAUGUCUCUGAGGCCAGGCUGGACUUAUGGGGACAAACAAAGAACCUGUUCUGUCUUUUGAUGCCCUUGUAUUCAACCCUGUUUGUGUCUGGUACCUGCCUGUCUUUUGAUGCCUUUGUAUUCAACCCUGUUUGUGUCUGGUACCUGCCUGUCUUUUGAUGCCUUUGUAAUCAACCCUGUUUGUGUCUGGUACCUGCCUGUCUUUUGAUGCCUUUGUAUUCAACUCUGUUUGUGUCUGGUACCUGCCUGUCUUUUGAUGCCUUUGUAUUCAACUCUGUUUGUGUCUGGUACCUGCCUGUCUUUUGAUGCCUUUGUAUUCAACCCUGUUUGUGUCUGGUACCUGCCUGUCUUUUGAUGCCCUUGUAUUCAACCCUGUUUGUGUCUGGUACCUGCCUGUCUUUUGAUGCCUUUGUAUUCAACCCUGUUUGUGUCUGGUACCUGCCUGUCUUUUGCUGUCUGGUACCUGCCUGUCUUUUGCUGUCUGGUACAUGCCAGUCUGUUGGUGUUUGUUCCAUGCCAGUCUGUUGGUGUUUGUGCCAUGCCAGUCUGUUGGUGUUUGUUCCAUGCCAGUCUGUUGGUGUUUGUUCCAUGCCAG
ensembl:lncRNA